CAGUCGCCGCGGGAAUACGUAGGUGGCAAGCGUUGUCCGGAAUUAUUGGGCGUAAAGGGCUCGCAGGCGGUUUCUUAAGUCUGAUGUGAAAGCCCCCGGCUCAACCGGGGAGGGUCAUUGGAAACUGUUAAACUUGAGUGCAGGAGAGAAAAGUGGAAUCCCUAGUGUAGCGGUGAAAUGCGUAGAGAUUAGGAGGAACACCAGUGGCGAAGGCGGCUUUUUGGCCUGUAACUGACACUGAGGCGCGAAAGCGUGGGGAGCAAAUAGGAUUAGAUACCCCCGUAGUCCCUGUCUCUUAUAC
rnacentral:rRNA from 1 species